rnacentral:rRNA from 1 species
GACGUAGGGCGCGAGCGUUGUCCGGAUUUAUUGGGCGUAAAGAGCUCGUAGGCGGCUUGUCGCGUCGAAUGUGAAAACUCGGGGCUCAACCCCGCGCUUGCAUUCGAUACGGGCAGGCUCGAGUUCGGUAGGGGAGACUGGAAUUCCUGGUGUAGCGGUGAAAUGCGCAGAUAUCAGGAGGAACACCGGUGGCGAAGGCGGGUCUCUGGGCCGAUACUGGCGCUGAGGAGCGAAAGCGUGGGGAGCGAACAGG